GCUCUCCCAGGCAGCGGCCCCAGGGACACGGGCGCGGGGUCCCUCAGGCCAGCCUCCCCGUGUGCCCAGCGGCAGGGUCCUUGGCGGGGAAUGUACAGAUUUCUCCAUGGGCUGCAGGAGCAGCUGGGCUCCGGGGGACAGUUGUUCGUGGCUUUGUGGGGAUGAAGACGGCGGAGUUGGGGACGGAUCCUAACAUGUCCUGACACCGCCUGUGCUCUUCGUCUUGUGCGUCUGAAAUGGGUUUCUGGAAUUUUCCUGAAGCAUUGCAUGCUGAUACAGAUUCUGAGCUGGUGCUUUGACUGUCACAAGCCAGAGGGUCCUAGAAGAAGUAGAAUCAUAACUGAGGAAAACUUAGGAAACCCCAUCCGUUCUGCCUUUCAAAGGUCUUCAGGGCAGCGCCACGUUUCACCACCUGAUUUUGGUGUUUCACAGUCUGAUGUGUUCAUAGCUUUUGACUAUUAAACUGAUUGAGCUCUG
rnacentral:lncRNA from 1 species